ensembl:lncRNA
UGAAAGCAAGAGGACUCUGUGGCUGUUCUGGGGAGGAAACAUAUCAUUUAAGUGUGGUUUCUGGAUGAAAAAGAGAAAAAAAAAAAAAAAGAUGGUGCCUUCCUACAUUCCCCCUCAUAGAUACCAUCUGGAUUGCAGACAACUCACCCAAAUAGAAUAUGAAGCUUGGCAGGAAAAAAAAGCCCCUUGUGUGUCUUUCCAAAUUGAUAUUUCAAUAUCUCUGUUUUGCACCAACUGAAACAAGCCCAAAUUCUCUGGGAGAGAGUGUGUGCUAACAUGGCCUCUAUUUUAUUAAGAACAAACAAACAACAACAACAACGAAAAAGCAUGGCAGUCAUUUAGCUGUAAUGGCCAAGAUAUAAAAUGUCAGUUUUAUUUAUGGCAAGUAGCUGGGUAGAAAAUAUGUCCUGGCAUCGCUUGAGAUUUCAAGAACUUUGUUUUCCUUUUUCUCUCGCUGCAUGAAAUAAUGCUGUAUUCUUAACAAACAAACAAAGAAAAACAAAGAAGACGACAGCCCUCUCCAGCAAGAAAGACCAUGCUCUUCUCUCCACAGAACCAGAGUGAGUGGACCUGUGAGAGACAGAGGGACGUGAAAGUCAAAUCAGGUGCAACAGGAACUCAAACCCAUGCUUUCUGCCUCCAUGUUCACAUGAUAAUCACUGGGGAAUCAGCACGCUGGAGUUACAGUUUUCUGCUCUGUUUCUGACCAAAAGUUCCAUGCUGAAACAACGAGACUUCACACUGAGACCAAUGAACAACAACGUCAGGCUUUGCGCUACCGGUAUCAGAGCCUAACACGGCUGUGGCUGCUGACUUGUGCUUGGAUGAGCCUACACAAAUGCCAUUAAGUCAUUAAAACGCCGCUUGAACCAGCUUCCUACACAGCUCUAAUUAAACUUAACCAAUCUAAUCGAUGAUCCUGAGGUUUACUUUUGUAUAUGAUAUCUCACUUUCACCCAGGAACCCUCCCUAAGGGACCACCAUGCCACUGAAUGCAGAGCAAGAAAGCUAUCCUGGCACGCUCCUCUUAUCUGGAUGUGAAAAGUGACAUCAGCCUGAGCUCUGCCUCUCUUAACUCUGGCAAAUUAGACAAGCCAGGUUCUGUAAACACCUUUUUUUUUUUUUUUUUCUUCUGUGUGUGUGCUUCAAAGAGGCUUUAUCAGUCCAAAAAGAGCCGAGUAUGGAUUUCUAAAAGCAGGCUUAGAUCUCCCAGCCAAGCACAUGCUGAACCCUUAGUUCUUGUGUCUUAUGACAGCAGAAUUAUAAAAAGCAAGGCAGUGCCUGCUACUUGUUAGCUGCUGCUUCUCCUGGCAUCCCAGGGUUUCCUUUUCUAUGCCAGCAGAAUUUUGGCUCAGGGUACCAGAAAAUGGAUUCUCAAAAUCUGUAUCUGUACAGUGUAUACUCUGUGUAAUCUCUGGGCUGGUUGGUCAGGGAGGUCAACGUGACUUUGUUAGCAGAAGUGAUGUGGCUCAGUGGGUAUGACAUGGUUUACUGGGCAUAGUGGUGAUGG